GCACAAGCGGUGGAUGAUGUGGUUUAAUUCGAUGCAACGACGAAAAACCUUACCCACCUUUGACAUGUACGGAAUCCUUUAGAGAUAGAGGAGUGCUCGAAAGAGAACCGUAACACAGGUGCUGCAUGGCUGUCGUCAGCUCGUGUCGUGAGAUGUUGGGUUAAGUCCCGCAACGAGCGCAACCCUUGUCAUUAGUUGCUACAUUCAGUUGGGCACUCUAAUGAGACUGCCGGUGACAAACCGGAGGAAGGUGGGGAUGACGUCAAGUCCUCAUGGCCCUUAUAGGUGGGGCUACACACGUCAUACAAUGGAUGGUACAAAGGGUCGCCAACCCGCGAGGGGGGAGCCAAUCCCAUAAAGCCAGUCGUAGUCCGGAUCGUAGUCUGCAACUCGACUACGUGAAGUCGGAAUCGCUAGUAAUCGUGGAUCAGAAUGUCACGGUGAAUACGUUCCCGGGUCUU
rnacentral:rRNA from 1 species